rnacentral:lncRNA from 1 species
AAGGAAGAAGUAUGGAGUUAAAGACUGCAGCGUGAACUGAGGAGUCCCGGACAGGCCGCUUGCUGCAGAGGAUCCAGUCCAGAUCCCAGGAGAGCCCCUCUGCCCCUUCGGACCUCGUCUCCCAUCUACAAAACGUGAAGAUUGGCCCAGUUAGCGUGUCUCUACAAAAAGGUGCAUAUACCACUGAAGCUGCUUUGUUUGCUUUUGUGUGUCGGAUUGAACUUUUCUUUCAUGAAUCACGGUUAGGAAAGGCUUCUCUUGUUUUCUGCUAAUAAAAAGACAGCUUGGGCCAGGCGUGGUGGCUCACACUGUAAUCCCAGCACUUUGGGAGGCCGAGGCAGGCGGAUCACCUGAGGCCAGGAGUUCGAGACCAGCCUGACCAACGUGGGGAAACCCUGUUUCCACUAAAAAUACAAAAUUAGCUGGCAUGGUGGCAUGCACCUGUAAUCCCAGCUAUUUGGGAAACUGAGGCAGGAGAAUCACUUGAGCCCAGGAGGCAGAGGGUCACUGAGCCGAGAUCAUCCCAUUGCACUCCAGCCUGGACUAAAAGAGUGAAACUAUGUCUCAAAGG